ensembl:snRNA U6 U6 spliceosomal RNA
GUGCUCACUUUCACAGCACAUAUACUAAAAUUGAAACAGUACAGAGAUUAGCAUGGCCCCUGCACACAGAUGGCAUGCAAAUUCAUGAAGCAUUCCAUAUUUUU